rnacentral:rRNA from 1 species
GUGAGGAAUAUUGCGCAAUGGAGGCAACUCUGACGCAGCCAUGCCGCGUGCAGGAAGAAGGCGCUACGCGUUGUAAACUGCUUUUAACCGGGAAGAAACCCCAGGACGUGUCCUGGGUUGACGGUACCGGAGGAAUAAGCACCGGCUAACUUCGUGCCAGCAGCCGCGGUAAUACGAAGGGUGCAAGCGUUAUCCGGAUUCAUUGGGUGUAAAGGGUGCGUAGGCGGGGCGUUAAGUCAGUGGUGAAAUCCUGCAGCUCAACUGUAGACUUGCCAUUGAUACUGGCGCUCUUGAGUGCGCUUGAAGUAGGCGGAAUGUGCCGUGUAGCGGUGAAAUGCUUAGAUAUGGCACAGAACACCAAUUGCGAAGGCAGCUUACUAAGGCGAUACUGACGCUGAGGCACGAAAGCGUGGGGAUCAAACAGGAUUAGAAACCCUAGUAGUCC